rnacentral:rRNA from 1 species
UACAGAGGUCUCAAGCGUUGUUCGGAUUCAUUGGGCGUAAAGGGUGCGUAGGCGGCGCGGUAAGUCGGGUGUGAAAUCUCGGAGCUUAACUCCGAACUGUCAGCUGAUACUGUUUUGCUAGAGUGCGGAAGGGGCAAUCGGAAUUCUUGGUGUAGCGGUGAAAUGCGUAGAUAUCAAGAGGAACACCUGAGGUGAAGACGGGUUGCUGGGCCGACACUGACGCUGAGGCGCGAAAGCCAGGGGAGCAAACGGG